GGCUUAGUUAGAUUGGAAUUAUAUACAUGUUUAGGAUCGUAUAGCGUUUAUCCAUCGGAUCCAUGGGUAAAUGAUAGCUAUUGUGUAGGCGUGGUUCUUAUACCGUAUUUAUCUGCGAUUGUACCCUAUAUGCCAGAUCGCGUGGUAGUUCAUGAUAGUGACUGCUCCAUUGAUUCUUAUAUAGUCCCCCUCUCGUGUAUUGAGCUGGCAGAGCAACAUUAUU
rnacentral:lncRNA from 1 species